UACAGAGGUGCCAAGCGUUGUCCGGAUUGACUGGGCGUAAAGCGCACGCAGGCGGUUGCGCGCGUGGGGUGUGAAAUCUGGCCGCUUAACGGCCAGGCGCCAUCCCAUACGGCGCGACUGGAGUGAUGCAGAGGUCGAUGGAAUUGCCGGUGUAGUGGUGAAAUGCGUAGAGAUCGGCAGGAACACCCAGGGGGAAACCAGUCGACUGGGCAUCUACUGACGCUGAGGUGCGAGAGCGUGGGGAGCGAACCGG
rnacentral:rRNA from 1 species